rnacentral:rRNA from 1 species
GAUGAACGCUGGCGGCGUGCCUAAUACAUGCAAGUCGAACGGACUCUUAUUUGUUCUGCGCUCCGAACCUUCGGGUACGGAUUGCUGAACAGUAAGAGUUAGUGGCGGACGGGUGAGUAACACGUUAGUACCUGCCCUUUAGUGGGGAAUAACUCGGCGAAAGUCGAGCUAAUACCGCAUGUGACCGUUUACGGUUAAAGACUUCGGUCGCUAAAGGAGGGGCUUGCGUCUGAUUAGCUAGUUGGUAGGGUAAUGGCCUACCAAGGCGACGAUCAGUAGCUGGUUCGAGAGGAUGACCAGCCACACUGGGACUGAGAUACGGCCCAGACUCCUACGGGAGGCAGCAGUAAGGAAUCUUCCGCAAUGGACGAAAGUCUGACGGAGCAACGCCGCGUGCAGGAUGACGGCCUUCGGGUUGUAAACUGCUUUUCUGAAGGAAGAUUAUGACGGUACUUCAGGAAUAAGGACCGGCUAACUACGUGCCAGCCGCCGCCGUAAUAC